rnacentral:rRNA from 1 species
GACGAACGCUGGCGGCGUGCUUAACACAUGCAAGUCGAACGGUGAAGGGAUCAGCUUGCUGGUUCUGGAUGAGUGGCGAACGGGUGAGUAGCACGUGAGUAACCUGCCCCCUUCUUCUGGAUAACCGCAUGAAAGUGUGGCUAAUACGGGAUAUUCUGCGCCUGCUGCAUGGUGGGUGUGGGAAAGAUAUUGUUUCGGUGGGGGAUGGGCUCGCGGCCUAUCAGCUUGUUGGUGGGGUGAUGGCCUACCAAGGCGGUGACGGGUAGCCGGCCUGAGAGGGGGGACGGUCACACUGGGACUGAGACACGGCCCAGACUCCUACGGGAGGCAGCAGUGGGGAAUAUUGCACAAUGGGCGCAAGCCUGAUGCAGCGACGCCGCGUGAGGGAUGGAGGCCUUCGGGUUGUGAACCUCUUUCGCCAGUGAAGCAGGCCUGUCCCUUGUGGGUGGGUUGACGGUAGCUGGAUAAGAAGCGCCGGCUAACUACGUG